rnacentral:rRNA from 1 species
GAUGAACGCUGGCGGCGUGCCUAAUACAUGCAAGUCGAGCGAACGGACGAGAAGCUUGCUUCUCUGAUGUUAGCGGCGGACGGGUGAGUAACACGUGGAUGACCUACCUAUAAGACUGGGAUAACUUCGGGAAACCGGAGCUAAUACCGGAUAAUAUUUUGAACCGCAUGGUUCAAAAGUAAAAGACGGUCUUGCUGUCACUUAUAGAUGGAUCCGCGCUGCAUUAGCUAGUUGGUAAGGUAACGGCUUACCAAGGCAACGAUGCAUAGCCGACCUGAGAGGGUGAUCGGCCACACUGGAACUGAGACACGGUCCAGACUCCUACGGGAGGCAGCAGUAGGGAAUCUUCCGCAAUGGGCGAAAGCCUGACGGAGCAACGCCGCGUGAGUGAUGAAGGUCUUCGGAUCGUAAAACUCUGUUAUUAGGGAAGAAUAUAUGUGUAAGUAACUGUGCACAUCUUGACGGUACCUAAUCAGAAAGCCACGGCUAACUACGUGCCAGCAGCCGCGGUAAUACGUAGGUGGCAAGCGUUAUCCGGAAUUAUUGGGCGUAAAGCGCGCGUAGGCGGUUUUUUAAGUCUGAUGUGAAAGCCCACGGCUCAACCGUGGAGGGUCAUUGGAAACUGGAAAACUUGAGUGCAGGAGAGGAAAGUGGAAUUCCAUGUGUAGCGGUGAAAUGCGCAGAGAUAUGGAGGAACACCAGUGGCGAAGGCGACUUUCUGGUCUGUAACUGACGCUGAUGUGCGAAAGCGUGGGGAUCAAACAGGAUUAGAUACCCUGGUAGUCCACGCCGUAAACGAUGAGUGCUAAGUGUUAGGGGGUUUCCGCCCCUUAGUGCUGCAGCUAACGCAUUAAGCACUCCGCCUGGGGAGUACGACCGCAAGGUUGAAACUCAAAGGAAUUGACGGGGACCCGCACAAGCGGUGGAGCAUGUGGUUUAAUUCGAAGCAACGCGAAGAACCUUACCAAAUCUUGACAUCCUUUGACAACUCUAGAGAUAGAGCCUUCCCCUUCGGGGGACAAAGUGACAGGUGGUGCAUGGUUGUCGUCAGCUCGUGUCGUGAGAUGUUGGGUUAAGUCCCGCAACGAGCGCAACCCUUAAGCUUAGUUGCCAUCAUUAAGUUGGGCACUCUAAGUUGACUGCCGGUGACAAACCGGAGGAAGGUGGGGAUGACGUCAAAUCAUCAUGCCCCUUAUGAUUUGGGCUACACACGUGCUACAAUGGACAAUACAAAGGGCAGCGAAACCGCGAGGUCAAGCAAAUCCCAUAAAGUUGUUCUCAGUUCGGAUUGUAGUCUGCAACUCGACUACAUGAAGCUGGAAUCGCUAGUAAUCGUAGAUCAGCAUGCUACGGUGAAUACGUUCCCGGGUCU